GAUAACGGCCAUGCUACCCUGAACAAGCCCGAUCCUGUCUGAUCUCUGAAGCUAAGCAGGGUCGGGCCUGGUUAGCACUUAGAUGGGAGACCACCUAGGAAGACCAGAUGCUGUAGGCG
rnacentral:rRNA from 1 species